ACUCAUUCUCUCUCCUGCUGCCCUGUGAAGAGGAGCCUUCCACCAUAACUGUAAGGAUCCUGAGGCCUCCCCAGCCAUGCAGAACUGGUCUCUCUCUGUCAUCCAGGCUGAAGUGCAGUGGUGCCCACUGCAGCCUCAACAUCCUGGACUCAAUCAAUCCUCCCAUCUCAGCUGUCCUUGUAGCUGGGACUACAGACCAGGAAACAGUACAACUGAGGUCCAGCAACUUACUUCCUCGAGGUAUAACAACCAGAGAACUAAGAUUCAGCUCAGAUGUCUGAUAUCCCUAUCCGAAGGCCAUGCACUUUGCACCAUACCUCGUGAUCUACAACAUCUAUUCACCGUGUUCUUUUUGUUAUCAAAUUUCCAAGAAUACAUGUAAAGCAGGUAGCGUAGCGACCACAUAUUACUGAAAGAUGCAUUUAAUGCAGUAAGAAGAAUCUAAUUUUAAAUUUCUACUGUUUUGAUGUAGUUUCAAAGCAGCUGCUUAGCUUGUAUUUUCAGUUUAAUAUAUUCGUGAUCAUUAACAAAACAGCGAAGUGAAUAAUGGGCAUAAGUUUUCCAAAGAAGAAUCAUUUUCCAUACUUAUUUUUCAAUAUUAUCAAAAAGUAUGUAAUUUUUUUUUUUUUUUUUUUUGGAGAUAGAAUCUUGCUCUGUUGCCCAGGCUGGAGUGCAAUGGCACAAUCUCGGCUCACUACAACCUCCGUCUCCCAGGUUCAAGCUAUUCUCCUGCCUCAGCCUCACGAGUAGCUGACAUUACAGGCGCACACCACCAUACCCACCUAAUUUUUGUGUUUUUAGUAGAGACAGGGUUUCACCACAGUGGCCAGGCUGGUCUGGAACUCCUGACCUCAGGUGAUCCGCCCACCUCGGCCUCUCAAAGUGCUGGGAUUACAGGCGUAAGCCACUGUGUCUGGCCGUAAACAGAAUUUUAUUUUGUGUGUUAUGGACCCACUUGUAACCAAAAGCGCUUCUUUGAAGGACAAGAUAAAUAAUUAGAAUUUCCAAAAUAAUAAACUGUCAUCCUUAUUUACAUGUUAAUGUCAAUGGAUCUGAAUAAAAGAAUUUAUGCGGCCGGGUGCGGUGGCUCAUUCCUGUAAUCCCAGCACUUUGGGAGGCCAAGGCGGGUGGAUCACCUGAGGUCAGGAGUUCAACACCAGCCUGGUCAACAUGUGAAACCCCAUCUCUACUAAAAAUACCAAAAUUAGCCGAGUGUGGUGGCGCAUGCCUGUAAUCCCAGCUACUCAGGAGGCUAAGGCAGGAGAAUCGCUUGAACCCAGGAGGCGGAGGUUGCAGUGAGCCUUGAUCGUGCCACAGCAUUCCAGCCUGGGUGACAAACUGAGACUCUGUCUCAAAAAAAAAAAAGAAUUUAUGCUUUGUGUUAAUGGCAUGUCACAACAUUUCAAAACCUGCUGAUUCCCAAACACCUAUUUAUCUUCAUCAUGAAUUUAUAUGAUGAAAAGUACCUCCCUUUACAGGUUUUAAAAGUUAAAUGAGCUAAUACAAAUCAAGGACUAGUUAGUCUUUUAUAAAGUUCACCCUUUUCAUCUUCCUUGUACCAGAGAAAUAUAAAGAUGUACUCCCAUAAAUGGUAAAAAUACAGAGGGAAGAAGGCAAGACAGCAAGUAGAAAAAAUAAUUAUCAAAAGAACUACUAAAUUCUUCAAUGUGACAGGUUUUCACCUGCAAGAAUUUUUCCACUCUGGAAAUGCCCCGAAGUGUCCCAUGGUGAUUCCACCUGUACAAGUGUGACUACAGUCCAUGAUACUGCCCAACCACAGCUGGCCAAGACCUCGCUAGCUGCCCCUUUCUGCCUGAUGCGCCACGUGUGUCCCCCCAGAGCUGGGCCAUGGAGCAAAGAGGAUCAGCUCUAAAGCCCUAUCAAAUGUAGGCUGCAUUCCCCUGAUCAAACCUCCAAAGUGAAUUCCUGGUUUCCUAAAUCAGUAAGCAAAACAGAUACAAUCUCUGAGUAUUCUGUCUUCCUCACCUCAGUGAAUUCCCCACCACUUGCUGAGAAGGCCAACGCAGAAGCUGAACUAAUCCUUGACUCCUUUUUCUCCUAUAUUCUCCUUAUCCUGCCAGUCAAAAGGGCAUGUAACUCCCAGUCACUGAAUCUCUUGACUCUAACCUCUCUUCUUUAAUCCCAAUGCCACAGCUAUAGAUAAAGUCCUUACCAACAUCUUGCAACCUGGAUAACAGCCAAGUCUUAUUCAUCCCUCUGAACCUGGCUCUUCCAUGCCCUCCUGCGAGGCCUUCCCCAGCCCCUCUCUGUGGAUGCCCCUCCUCCCUUUUGAAGCAGAUUGGAUACCAGCCCCACCCCGCCACCAUGCUUCUUUUAUCCUUGCAGGUGGGUGUGUCUUUAUCUUCAGGGUGCCUGAAACAUAUGAGUGUUCCAUAAAUUUUUGUUGAAUAAGGGAUUUGCUUUUGAGGGAAGGAAAAAGUGAAAAAGUACAAUUUGGUUAACUAGCUGGUACUUUAUUUGGAAAAAUGGCUUAAUGAAUUUCAGUUUAAGAACUGGUUUUUUCCAAAAUAAAUUUUUUCUGUUUGCAUAAACUUGGGCAGAAUCAUGGGCAGGAUGUUCUAGGGUCAUUGCAUUUUCAUUAAAAUUAGGUAAAUGUCUAACUGAAAAACGCCCACUUUUACCCAAGUAAGUAAAAUUCAAUCUUCUAUUUUAUAUAUGGGGGGAGGAUUCAGGGGCAAAGGUGUGAGGUCACUAACCCCAGAGAUAACUGAUUCCUGGUCUGGUGAAGAAAAUGGAAGUGCUCCAAGAGGGCGUCUCUCUGCUUCACUUCCCCAACCACUGCAAGGAUAUUAUGCUCAGAUUACCUGAUGUCUCUACAUAUAUGGGAGUUGGGGUCAGGUGGGUGGACACCCAGGCCUAGAAGCAAAGGUAUUAAGCCACCAUCAAUUUCCUUCCUAAAGAACUAAAAGGUGAAGGAUAGGGCCAGGCACGGUGGCUCACGCCUAUAAUCCCAGCACUUUGGGAGGCCAAGGAGGGCAGCUCAUUUGAGGUCAGGUGUUCGAGACGAGCCUGGCUGACAUGGUGAAACCUCAUCUCUACUAAAAAUCCAGAAAAAAAGCCGGGCAUGGUGGUGCAUGCCUGUAGUCCCAGCUACUUGGGAGGCUGAGGCAGGAGAAUCGCUUGA